rnacentral:rRNA from 1 species
UACGAAGGGGCUAGCGUUGCUCGGAAUCACUGGGCGUAAGCGCACGUAGGCGGAUUGUUAAGUCAGGGUGAAAUCCUGGAGCUCAACUCCAGAACUGCCUUGAUACUGGCGAUCUCGAGUCCGGGAGAGGUGAGUGGAACUGCGAGUGUAGAGGUGAAAAUUCGUAGAUAUUCGCAAGAACACCAGUGGCGAAGGCGGACUCACUGGC